AUGCGGAUGCCUAACCCUAGGGAGGUGGAUCGGGCCCUGUUUGUUGAGAAUGUUAAACUGAAAAAAUGUGGUGUUAGUGUUCGUUUUUCUCCCUGGUCUGAUGAUCUCGACUCUGAGGGGUUGCUGGAAGUGGCUUGGGUCAGGAUAGGAAAAAUUCCGCCCAAUAAAAGAUGUGAUAGGACUGUUGCUUAUGCAGGUGGCCUGGUUGGGAUUACAUUAGAGGUCUACUCUGAAUCGACCCUCAUCGGUUCGGGCCAAGAUUGGAUGUAG
rnacentral:rRNA from 1 species